rnacentral:rRNA from 1 species
UACGUAGGCAGCGAGCGUUGUUCGGAGUUACUGGGCGUAAAGGGUGUGUAGGCGGUUGUUUAAGUUUGGUGUGAAAUCUCCCGGCUCAACUGGGAGGGUGCGCCGAAUACUGAAUGACUUGGAGUGCGGGAGAGGAAAGUGGAAUUCCUGGUGUAGCGGUGAAAUGCGUAGAUAUCAGGAGGAACACCGGUGGUGUAGGCGGUUCUCUGGGCAUUACCUGACGCUGAGGAGCGAAAGCGUGGGGAGCGAACAGG